rnacentral:rRNA from 1 species
UACGGAGGGGACUAGCGUUGUUCGGAAUUACUGGGCGUAAAGCGCACGUAGGCGGAUUUGUAAGUCAGGGGUGAAAUCCCGGGGCUCAACCUCGGAACUGCCUUUGAUACUGCAAAUCUCGAGUCCGGAAGAGGUGAGUGGAAUUCCUAGUGUAGAGGUGAAAUUCGUAGAUAUUCGCAAGAACACCAGUGGCGAAGGCGGCUCACUGGCCCGGUACUGACGCUGAGGUGCGAAAGCGUGGGGAGCAAACAGGG